GUGGGGAAUUUUGGACAAUGGGCGAAAGCCUGAUCCAGCAAUGCCGCGUGUGUGAAGAAGGCCUUCGGGUUGUAAAGCACUUUUGGCAGGGAAGAAACAGUGCGUGCUAAUACCAUGCGCGAAUGACGGUACCUGCAGAAUAAGCACCGGCUAACUACGUGCCAGCAGCCGCGGUAAUACGUAGGGUGCAAGCGUUAAUCGGAAUUACUGGGCGUAAAGCGUGCGCAGGCGGCUUUGUAAGACGGAUGUGAAAGCCCCGGGCUCAACCUGGGAAGUGCAUUCGUGACUGCAAGGCUAGAGUGGGUCAGAGGGAGGUGGAAUUCCGCGUGUAGCAGUGAAAUGCGUAGAGAUGCGGAGGAACACCGAUGGCGAAGGCAGCCUCCUGGGAUAACACUGACGCUCAGGCACGAAAGCGUGGGGAGCAAACAGGAUUAGAAACCCGUGUAGUCC
rnacentral:rRNA from 1 species